GCCCAGGUGGUGAAAUUGGUAGACACGCCAGCUUGAGGGGCUGGUGGCCGUUAGGCCGUGCUGGUUCGACUCCAGUCUUGGGCA
rnacentral:tRNA from 1 species